CAGAAAGGGACGGCUAACUACGUGCCAGCAGCCGCGGUAAUACGUAGGUCCCAAGCGUUGUCCGGAUUUAUUGGGCGUAAAGCGAGCGCAGGUGGUUUCUUAAGUCUGAUGUAAAAGGCAGUGGCUCAACCAUUGUGUGCAUUGGAAACUGGGAGACUUGAGUGCAGGAGAGGAGAGUGGAAUUCCAUGUGUAGCGGUGAAAUGCGUAGAUAUAUGGAGGAACACCGGAGGCGAAAGCGGCUCUCUGGCCUGUAACUGACACUGAGGCUCGAAAGCGCGGGGAGCAAACAGGAUUAGAUACCCUGGUAGUCCACGCCGUAAACGAUGAGUGCUAGCUGUAGGGAGCUAUAAGUUCUCUGUAGCGCAGCUAACGCAUUAAGCACUCCGCCUGGGGAGUACGACCGCAAGGUUGAAACUCAAAGGAAUUGACGGGGGCCCGCACAAGCGGUGGAGCAUGUGGUUUAAUUCGAAGCAACGCGAAGAACCUUACCAGGUCUUGACAUACUCGUGCUAUCCUUAGAGAUAAGGAGUUCCUUCGGGACACGGGAUACAGGUGGUGCAUGGUUGUCGUCAGCUCGUGUCGUGAGAUGUUGGGUUAAGUCCCGCAACGAGCGCAACCCUUAUUACUAGUUGCCAUCAUUAAGUUGGGCACUCUAGUGAGACUGCCGGUGAUAAACCGGAGGAAGGUGGGGAUGACGUCAAAUCAUCAUGCCCCUUAUGACCUGGGCUACACACGUGCUACAAUGGAUGGUACAACGAGUCGCCAACCCGCGAGGGUGCGCUAAUCUCUUAAAACCAUUCUCAGUUCGGAUUGCAGGCUGCAACUCGCCUGCAUGAAGUCGGAAUCGCUAGUAAUCGCGGAUCAGCACGCCGCGGUGAAUACGUUCCCGGGCCUUGUACACACCGCCCGUCACACCACGGAAGUUGGGAGUACCCAAAGUAGGUUGCCUAACCGCAAGGAGGGCGCUUCCUAAGGUAAGACCGAUGACUGGGGUGAAGU
rnacentral:rRNA from 1 species